CAGCCGUAAACAAUGUGCGUUAGGUGUGUCGGUAACCACGCGUUACUGAUGCGCCGAAGAGAAAUCGUGAAACGCACCACCUGGGAAGUACGGUCGCAAGGCUGAAACUUAAAGGAAUUGGCGGGGGAGCACCACAACAGGUGGAGCCUGCGGUUUAAUUGGAUUCAACGCCGGAAGCUCACCGGAUAGGACAGCAGGAAUGAUUGCCGGGCUGAAGACCCUGCAUGACUAGCUGAGAGGAGGUGCAUGGCGUAGACGUCU
rnacentral:rRNA from 1 species